rnacentral:hammerhead_ribozyme from 1 species
GCACUGCUGAGGAGUCUAAUAAUAGGACGAAACGGCUGUGUAGUGU